rnacentral:rRNA from 1 species
UGCGUAGGCGGAUUAAUAAGUCAGUGGUGAAAUCUCUCGGCUCAACCGGGAAACUGCCAUUGAUACUGUUAAUCUUGAGUUCGGUCGAGGUAGGCGGAAUGUGUAAUGUAGCGGUGAAAUGCUUAGAUAUUACACAGAACACCAAUUGCGUAGGCAGCUUACUAGACCGACACUGACGCUGAGGCACGAAAGCGUGGGUAGCGAACAGGAUUAGAUACCCUGGUAGUCC